rnacentral:lncRNA from 1 species
UCUUUAUUCUCUCUUAUCCUCUAGAGAAAACAACCUCCAUCACCACCAUACAUGACCACCACCGUUAUAAACCACAUCCACGAGACCACUACUGCAACUACCACGACUAGCCAAACACAAUCGCCGCCAUCACCAACCACCACACCACCUCAUCACCAUAAACAACCACCGCCACGAGAUCACCAUUGCAACCACCACCACUAACCAUCACAACAGCCACCAUCACCAACUACCACGAAAGCAGAUCUGACGCUUUCGGAGCGAAAUCUGUUGUUGUUUCUGAAGAUUCAAGCGCAAAGGAAGAUUCAAUAGGGAUUUAUCUAUGCUUGUGCUUCUUCUUUGUGUGUUCUUCUGGCACGACGUCGUUUUCCAGCAUUGGAGCGUCGGUUUCUGUAUCGAUUGUGCCCCUUUUGUGCUUCUUGCCCAUUGAUUUAGGCAGAAAACUGAUCGAAGAAGAUGGACGGCAUGUAAAAUUCCAAAUGAAGUAUAAUUGCAGUGGUUAUCAAACAGCUGAUGGAUGUUAAGUGCUGCUCAAUUACAACAACUGAUAAACCAAACACUGAUGAUUAUCUAAAAACUGCUGAAGACAAACUCUGUUGCUCUAUCUACUGCUGUGUCCUAAGUACUGCUGAAGACUCAAGCACUGCCCUCUCAAAGACUGAUCACCUUUGAAGAAAGCACUGAAGAUUCAACAUCUGUGCUAAGGCUACAACAGUGGAACGUGAAGCAGUAGUUUCCUU